rnacentral:rRNA from 1 species
UACGAAGGGGGCUAGCGUUGCUCGGAAUUACUGGGCGUAAAGCGCACGUAGGCGGUCUUUUAAGUCGGGGGUGAAAUCCUGGAGCUCAACUCCAGAACUGCCUUCGAUACUGGAAGACUUGAGUCCGGGAGAGGUGAGUGGAACUGCGAGUGUAGAGGUGAAAUUCGUAGAUAUUCGCAAGAACACCAGUGGCGAAGGCGACUUCCUGGCCUGUUCUUGACGCUGAGGCGCGAAAGCUAGGGGAGCAAACGGG